ACCCUUGACAUCCAGAGAACUUGGCAGAGAUGCCUUGGUGCCUUCGGGAACUCUGAGACAGGUGCUGCAUGGCUGUCGUCAGCUCGUGUUGUGAAAUGUUGGGUUAAGUCCCGUAACGAGCGCAACCCUUGUCCUUAUUUGCCAGCACGUAAUGGUGGGAACUCUAAGGAGACUGCCGGUGACAAACCGGAGGAAGGUGGGGACGACGUCAAGUCAUCAUGGCCCUUACGGGUAGGGCUACACACGUGCUACAAUGGCCGGUACAAGGGUUGCGAGACCGCGAGGUGGAGCGAUCCCAGAAGGCGGGCUCAGUCCGGAUCGGAGUCUGCACUCGACUCCGUGAAGUCGGA
rnacentral:rRNA from 1 species